CCACAUCACAUUAAAACAGUGGUUCUUGUUUGAUCACUGAAGUUAAGCAAUGUUGAGUCUGGUUAGUAUUCAGAUGGGUAACCACUGGGGAAUACCAGGUGCUGUAU